AUGGGAUAAAGUGUGGGAUGAGGAGAUGGGUAUGAAGGCUGUAGUAUCAUCAGAAGAUGAAGUGCCAAAGUCUGAAGUGCCAUUGAAAUGUGCCAGUGGAGGAGGAGAUUCAAAUGAAAGCAAGUGGAGAGAACCUCCUAAAUUCUUGCAGCUUGCUGGUGGUCAGCUUUACUGCUAGAAGUGGAAUCACUGCAUCUACCUCUGACAGGACUGCAAUUUGUGUGAACCCAGAGAAGUGGCUGCCUAGGCUGAGUGCCUCAUGCUACUGUCAGCUCCCUGAAAGGAAGGUGAUGGUUGUACAAGAGACUGGUGAGUGAGCCAAACAAAGGGCAGAGAAAAGAAAAGCAGAGAAGAAAGCUUAGAAUAGACCUAUGCAAAUGAUGGACUCGAGUCUGAAUCUGGGCUGCCUCCAGACAAAAAAUGCCUGCUGCAUUCCUGUUCAGUGUCUCAG
rnacentral:lncRNA from 12 species